rnacentral:lncRNA from 1 species
AAUUUAAGGUGAAAUUCAAUUUUAAAAAUAAAUUCAAAGAUUGAAAUUAAGACCAAAUAUAACAUCUUAGCUACGCUUUUCACUUUUGGUGACUUAUGAAUUUUUCAAGCCGAAGUUAAAAAAGUGAGCUUUAGUAACUUACUUUAUCAACCAACUUUUGUAAAGUGACUUUUAUAUUCACUUUCGAUAACUAGACAACUGAUAAGACGUCACUUUCUAGAAAUGUUACUUUCGAUGCUUUACUUUCGGCCAACCAAAUAUGCCCUUAUAGUAAGUUAUUGUACGAAUAAGCUAUUGUACGAAUUUGA